GCGGUUGUGGCUCAGUGAAAGAGCGCUUGCCUCGCACAUGCAAGACCCUGUGUUUGAUCCUCAGCACCACA
rnacentral:tRNA from 1 species